rnacentral:lncRNA from 1 species
GGGGAAUAUACCGGCACCCAUCCUUCCUGCUUUGGCAGCAGCAGUGGUGGCAGAGGCUGCCUGUCGCCUGUUAGCCCUUCCCUAGGCUUGAGGGGGGGCUGGAGGGACCGCCCUGCUGGUCCCAUCACCCCACCUUCUCCUAUCUCAGGUGGAGGCUGAUCUGGGAGACAGCGCCGGUGGCAGCGCGAGUACAAGAUGGAUAGAGAGGCGGGAGCAGCUGGGCCAGGCCCGGGCCAUCAAUUAUCUGGGGAGAAUCCAUCCAUCCAAGCCCCUCCUCAAUCUACCUAAUGCUCUGACCCCAACUGCCUCCAAGCCACCUCUUCCCAGUAAAUCGCAGCACUCCUAUGUUCUGCACCCAGCCUAGGACCUGGGAAGGGCUGGUUAGGUCCAGUGACUCCUCAAAGACAGGCACUGGGGGGAGGAGAUGAGAUUUGGCAGGGUGAAGAGGGGUGCCAGGAUGUGCCCCCACCUCUGAUCUCAGACAAAUUGCUGUCUCUGCUGCUGUGAUCCUGGCAAAUCCCUCGGCUUUGGGCACUUGCACUCUCCCACUCGGCACUGGAGACUGGAGACUGGAGACGGCCAAAAUGAAAGGGAAGAGUUGGGGGAAAGUGGCCAAGCGACCUUGUUGGGGAGCUUGGACUGGGAGGGGGGAGAGAAUGAGUGUGCGAGGAAACGAGCCGAGAAAUGGGAACAUGGCAUAAAAUAAAAUAAAAUCCUCCCUCUGGCUUCCUUGAUCGCUCAAGCUCGCUCGCUCUCUCUCGCUCUCUCUCUCUCUCUCUCUCCCUCUCC